UGGGGAAUUUUGGACAAUGGGCGAAAGCCUGAUCCAGCAAUGCCGCGUGUGUGAAGAAGGCCUUCGGGUUGUAAAGCACUUUUGUCCGGAAAGAAAUCCUCUGGGUUAAUACCUCGGGGGGAUGACGGUACCGGAAGAAUAAGCACCGGCUAACUACGUGCCAGCAGCCGCGGUAAUACGUAGGGUGCAAGCGUUAAUCGGAAUUACUGGGCGUAAAGCGUGCGCAGGCGGUUUUGUAAGACGGAUGUGAAAUCCCCGGGCUUAACCUGGGAACUGCAUUCGUGGCUGCAAGGCUAGAGUAUGGCAGAGGGGGGUAGAAUUCCACGUGUAGCAGUGAAAUGCGUAGAGAUGUGGAGGAAUACCGAUGGCGAAGGCAGCCCCCUGGGCCAAUACUGACGCUCAUGCACGAAAGCGUGGGGAGCAAACAGGAUUAGAUACCCUGGUAGUCCACGCCCUAAACGAUGUCAACUAGUUGUUGGGGAUUCAUUUCCUUAGUAACGUAGCUAACGCGUGAAGUUGACCGCCUGGGGAGUACGGUCGCAAGAUUAAAACUCAAAUGAAUUGACGGGGUCAUAGCUGUUUCCU
rnacentral:rRNA from 1 species